UUGACCUCUUCACUGUGCUAAUAUUAUAUGCUAAUUAUGUUCAUUUGUAGUGUUGACCUCUUCACUGUGCUAAUAUUAUAUGCUAAUUAUGUUCAUUUGUAGUGUUGACCUCUUCACUGUGCUAAUAUUAUAUGCUAAUUAUGUUCUGACCCACAGACUUUAACUCAGAAAACAAUUGUCCCGAAGCCAAACCUAGUUGACGAACCCUGUUUUAUAGUAUUCCAUGGCCUUUACUGGCCAACUGCUGUUAUGGUUAUGAUAUACUAUGGUGUUGUGUCACUAGACUUUGACCAGAUAUUAUUACAUCCAAAGAUCAACUGAACCUAGAAUAUAGAUACAGAGACACUUGUCAUCAGGAAGGUGAUCUCUCAGCACAACGGAAAAUAUCUCAAUGACUUGACAUGUUCUGGUUGUGAAUUCAGGCUACAAGGGGUCAGUUCUCUAAAAUGAGUCUCUCUGGGGAGAGAGAGGAGGGGGGCCCUGCCUCUAAAAUGAGACUCUCUGGGGAACAUGACACCAAAGCUAAGAGUCCAAUCAAGCAGGAGAGACCAGCCUCCCCUGUUCCCAGCUGUGUGUCCAUGAAGAGUGAUAAGUCUAUGGGUGACCCUAUAUACUUUAGAGAGGGAGACUUUUCUACUGAACAAAGAAACCAACAGGAGAGAUCAGAGUCAGAGAUUCUCAGUGGUCAGUCUUCCC